rnacentral:rRNA from 1 species
AUUGAACGCUGGCGGCAGGCCUAACACAUGCAAGUCGAGCGAGUGGCGGACGGGUGAGUAAUGUCUGGGGAACUGCCCGAUAGAGGGGGAUAACUACUGGAAACGGUGGCUAAUACCGCAUACUAUCGGAUGAACCCAUAUGGGAUUAGCUAGUAGGUGGGGUAAAGGCUCACCUAGGCGACGAUCCCUAGCUGGUCUGAGAGGAUGAUCAGCCACACUGGGACUGAGACACGGCCCAGACUCCUACGGGAGGCAGCAGUGGGGAAUAUUGCACAAUGGGCGCAAGCCUGAUGCAGCCAUGCCGCGUGUAUGAAGAAGGCCUUAGGGUUGUAAAGUACUUUCAGCGGGGAGGCGUUACCCGCAGAAGAAGCACCGGCUAACUCCGUGCCAGCAGCCGCGGUAAUAC